GCCCGGUGAAGCUCAUAUACCAAACAAGCGGUGCAAGAGGAAUUUGAAGCUCAUAUACCAAACAAGCGGUGCAAGAGGAAUUUCUUUCUGCUCUUAUCAACUAUAUUGUCUCAGCAGGUCGCUUAAGCACUAAAACAUGAACACAAUCAAUAAAACAUGUGGAGAGAUUCAGACUGAAGGAGGGUUCGAAUACAGACUUCUGUCUAAUAUACUGAAUCAAACCAGUAAUGACUGUGAGCAGAGCUGGUAUUCAGAGGACUGGCGUCUGUUAGCAGAUCCAUCGAAUCCACACAGACUGAUGUAUCCUGUGACGUCUGUAUCAUCUGAUCGUCUCGUCACUUCUCACUGUGUGAAUGAACUUCGUUAUGAGAUUCAGUGUCAUUCUGAUGGAAUCACACAUGAGACCAUCUUCAGAGUGUUUAACGGCACAGACUCCAGCGGCGGAUCGACACAAACUCCAGAUUCACAUCAGUUCUGGUGGAUUUCUGCUCUUUUCUUCAUCACGGUUGUUCUGCUCUUGAUCUGUUUCAUGCUGCGUAAAAGGAUCUUCAGUUGUGUUUCGAGAGCAGUGACACGAAUCUUUAAGCACAGUGAGUCAGAAAACAGGUGAGUGAAUCAAAUUGAGAGAAAGAAAGACUUGAAGUGAGUUUGAAUCACAUGAUAAUUUCUGAAUCAGAUGAAUGAUGUUUUCAGUUUCAGUUCAGACUCUGUGAAUAAAUCUGAAUGUGUUUCAAGGGAUCCUGAAGCUGGAGUCCAGAUGAAGAUCAGAUCUGAUGAAUCUGAUUCACUGAGUCAAUCUGAAUCUGAACCGUUAAACGGCUCAGUGUCCAGAGCAUGAUCAGUGUGAAUCAGCUCAGGUCAUGAUUUACUCAAACUCAGGGCUGAACGUCACUGUGAUCUUUGACAUGAUGAAGGGAGUUUCAGUUCAUUCUGAGCUUCUCAACUCUGUUCAUUCCCUCAUCUCUUCUCUGUUUUAUGAGCGCAGCGACAUCUUUAGGGUUUUAUCGGGGAGGUCCAGUGACCUUUCUAUUCCCAUAGUCCUCGCUGCGUUGUUGAUGCACUGCGAAGAUUGCACAUGAAAAUAAGAUAUAUAUAUAUAUAUAUAUAUAUAUAUAUAUAUAUAAUUAAAUAUUUGGUACCCUAGCAAAGAAAUACUAUAAUUUUACAAUAAAUAUACCCCAUUUAAAUCAUGUUUUUUGGAUAAUAUCAGUAUUCUUUGAUAUUCGUUACAGUAGAAUUUAAAUACCAUGUUAUAUAAAUAGGGCUCUUAAAGUAUACCUUGGUACAUUCUGGUACAUGUUAGUUUUUAAGUAUUUUAACUAUUUUAACAUAUUAAAUAUUACAUGCACUCCUUAAAGACUAUAUAAGACCAAUAAUGACCACUCACAGCUCCAGGUCAGGGGACAGGAAGCUCUCCGUUGUACGUGACCCACUUCACAUCAGACAUUUCCACGGACACCUCCGUCUUAAAUUUGCCACGAGAGAACACCCAGACACCAAAUCUCUGUUUUUAAAUGAUAGAUUCAUCACGUCAUCUUCAUCAGCUGCUCUUCAUCAUGUCACAGACAGAUCAGUGAAACACUUUCAAACAUGUUAUGGAGAUUUUUUUGGGCUCAGAGACGUUAAAGCAUUUGUUCUGUAAAGUUACUGACUUUGAGACACACAGAUCUCUAUAAAACUGCCUUGAAAUAAUGUGUAUUCAGAAAAAUAAUACAAAUAAAUUCAUGACACGGGAAACACGAUCAUUUACCCAUUUAUACUAUUUUAUAUUUUGUAUUGUUAUAUUUCUUGCUCUUGUAAUGCUUUGUAAGUUGUCUAACCUUGUGAUUUUGUUUGUCUUCAUGUUUUAUAAGAUGACCCGUUAUGAUUUUUGUUAUAACUCUUGCUGUACAUUGUGCUGAUCAAAUGAAGUCUGAGCAAUAAACUCUGCUCAUUUUUAUCA